rnacentral:rRNA from 1 species
AGAGAGAGACAUGCGCGCAUAUCAAUAAGCGGAGGAAAAGAAACUAACAAGGAUUCCCCUAGUAACGGCGAGUGAAGCGGGAAGAGCUCAAAUUUGAAAUCUUAAAGGGUUUCCCUUUACGAAUUGUAGUUUAAAGAAGUGUUUUCUGUUGAGGUUUUGGUAAAAGUUCUUUGGAAUAGGACAUCAUAGAGGGUGAGAAUCCCGUAUUUGACCUUUACUUUCAACUUUGUGAUACACUUUCAAAGAGUCGGAUUGUUUGGGAAUGCAGUCCAAAAUGGGUGGUAAAUUUCAUCUAAAGCUAAAUAUUGGCGAGAGACCGAUAGCGAACAAGUACCGUGAGGGAAAGAUGAAAAGAACUUUGAAAAGAGAGUUAGACAGUACGUGAAAUUGUCAAAAGGGAAGCGUUUGACACCAGUGUUGUUUUUCUGAAAAUCAAUUAAAGAACUGUUUAUGCUAAGUUGUUUAGACUUUAUCAGCUAACUGUUUAGUUUUGAGCUUUUCUUUAAUGCACUUUUCAGUUAACAAGUCAACAUCAAUUUCUUUUGCUGUAAAAAAGCUUGAGGAAGGUGGCUUGAGAUUCGUCUUAAGUGUUUAUAGCCUCUUGCCUAUGCAGUCGGAGAGAUUGAGGUCUGCAGCGUAGAUCCUUCGGGGCUAAAUGCAUUUGUGCUAAGUUAUAGCAUUUUAUAGACAACUUGUUGACUAUGAUUUGUCUUGUAGCUUACUCGCUUAUGUUAUUUUACCUACGCUUAGGAUGUUGAGCGCAUGUCUCUCUCU